CAUCAUGGCUUCCACCUCAGUGCUCCUGCUUCAGCUGCUCCUGGUCUCGCAGGCGUCUGCAUCUCACUUCUUUGGGGGAACCACGACCUACAACUACAAAGGAAAAAACCCAGAUGGAUCAUUUAAGGUGGACCUUCGCUACAGGGAAACCUUUGAUGGGUGCUAUCACUCUCUCUACUGGGAAUGUUUCCAAGGCAAUUGUGGUAAUGUCCAAAGAAGCGUGAGGGGUGAGAUUGAAAGCAGCACCAAUGCACCACUGCUCAAUCGCCAAUGGUGUGAAACUGAAACUGUCAGCAGAACAAUCCUCCAGAGUAACAAACCUUUUCAACUCAUGGCUGCCAGCUGCUGUUGGAUCCCUAAGCGUACUGGGAAUAAUGAUCAGUGGAAUCUAGUGACCACGGUGGAUUUGGGGAUCAGAUCUGACACUAAGGAACCAAACAGAUCACCAGCCGUUGCUAUUCUCCCUUUCCUAAGAGUUCCUCAGAACUGUCCCCGGACAUACAAGCUGAUGGCCUUCGAUCCUGAUGGAGACAAAGUUCAAUGCAGAUAUGGAAAUAUUAAAACUGGAGAGUGUUCCCUGUGUGACCAACCUUCAGGCUUUCACUUAAAUGAGGGAACCUGCACAUUACAUUACCACUCGUCCAGCGCUGACUCAAGAGUUUAUGGAUUUGAGUUGGUGGUGGAGGACUUCCCAGUAGGCUCCAUCAAUCUGAC